CCGAGUCAUAUAGUAGUUUUUGAAAUUAUAAGUCUACUCUCAUAAAAGAAAAGAAAUAGCAAAGAAAAUUUGAAUGUGAAUAUACCACAUAUUAAAAUACGAAAAGAAGCUGAGAAAGUUGAAGAAGAUACUAAGUACUAAACAUUCUCUUUAUAUCUCUGCAGCUGCAUUGAAAUGCAAAAACUAACAUUCUCUGGUUCACUAAUCUUCAAAUUCAUCUCAUUGCUCUUGUCUGGGAGUUGUUGGAUGGUAAUGGCAUGCUGGGAUGAAAGCUGCAUAUGCUGGGAUUAAAGGGAAAAAGGGAGAGGUUGAUUUAUAAUAUUAUGCUCAUGCUCAUGCAGUUGCCCCACCCAUUCUAUCAUAUGUAUCUUUUCUUGUAUCUAGGAUUGCAAUUUUUAUCCGUGCAUGGGGAGCCUCUACCAUCCAUCUAAAUCUUUGGAAUAUAUUUUAGUACGUACCAUAUACUAAGAUGGAGUUUGUUUGCACAGGUUUUAUGACGUUUUCGCCUUUAAACUGAAAAAUAUUUAAUGUAUAAAGCAAGUAUAACAGAGAAAAACUAGUUGAUUUUCAUAUUAUAAAAUUUUACUAUAUGCUGAGAUGUAAAGAAUUGGAUGUGACAUCUAAAAGGAAAGUGUAAAGAAAUGGUUGGGAUGGAGGGAGGAACUGUUGUCCAAUAGUCGGUUUUAUUCUAUCGCUUCUUCAGUCUACCUUAUUCCUGUAAAUGUUCUGACUUCUGAUAAGCUUGCUGGAUGUUUGUUUAAGCCCUACAGCCCACGCUCGUCCCCCAGCAGAUCCACCUCUGGUGUAUUCUUCUAGUUCAGAAGGGUUAUAAUUAAGCACCGCGAGAUACAAUAUGAAGGUCUGGUUAUCUGGUUUAGUCCAUUAAUUUGUUCGAUUUUACUGUUUUUUUCCAUUCUAUUAUAGUUGCUGUCUGCUAAAUUCACAGAGUAUGCAUAAUGCAUUGUACUCCGGCCUCAAGACACAUUUCUAGCUUUGCCAAUUUUUUCAUGCAAUUCUUUUUUUGAAACUUGAGUUCAGGUUUGAUUUAUUUGUUCAAAUAAAAGCAGCCUUACCAACUUUUACCGCCAAAUGUUUACGUCACAUGUUACCU
rnacentral:lncRNA from 1 species